rnacentral:misc_RNA from 1 species
GAUGAAGAACGUAGCGAAAUGCGAUAAGUAAUGUGAAUUGCAGAAUUCAGUGAAUCAUCGAAUCUUUGAACGCACAUUGCGCCCCCUGGUAUUCCGGGGGGCAGGCCUGUUCGAGCGUCAUUUCACCACUCAAGCCUCGCUUGGUAUUGGGCAACGCGGUCCGCCGCGUGCCUCAAAUCGACCGGCUGGGUCUUCUGUCCCCUAAGCGUUGUGGAAACUAUUCGCUAAAGGGUGUUCGGGAGGCUACGCCGUAAAACAACCCCAUUUCUAAGGUUGACCUCGGAUCAGGUAGGGAUACCCGCUGAACUUAAGCAUAUCAAUAAGCGGAGGA